rnacentral:rRNA from 1 species
CCUACGGGUGGCAGCAGUAAGGGAUAUUGCGCGAAUGGACGAAAGUCUGACGCAGCAACGCCGCGUGCGGGAGGAAGGCCUUCGGGUCGUAAACCGCUUUUCGAGGUGAAGAGCGAGGACGGUAGCCUCGGAAGAAGUCUCGGCUAACUACGUGCCAGCAGCCGCGGUAAAACGUAGGAGGCGAGCGUUAUCCGGAUGUACUGGGUGUAAAGCGCGUGCAGGCGGUUGGAUAAGUUCGAUGUGAAAGGGCCUGGCUCAACCGGGCGAGGACGUCGAAGACUGUUCGACUGGAGGCAGGGAGAGGUCUGUGGAAUUCCGGGUGUAGUGGUGAAAUGCGUAGAGAUCCGGAGGAACACCAGUGGCGAAGGCGGCAGACUGGCCCUGACCUGACGCUCGGACGCGAAAGCACGGGGAGCGAACGGGAUUAGAUACCCUAGUAGUC